rnacentral:pre_miRNA from 1 species
GGGGGGAUGUCGAAUCCUGGGCUGUGUCCCGGCGCCCUGUGCUCCCGGCCGGCACUGUUGGAUUCGUGCUCCCUGCCGCGCAGUCCCCU